rnacentral:rRNA from 1 species
AUUGAACGCUAGCGGCAUGCCUAACACAUGCAAGUCGAACGAGUGGCGGACGGGUGAGUAAUAUAUCGGAACGUGCCCAGUAGCGGGGGAUAACUACUCGAAAGAGUGGCUAAUACCGCAUACCAUCGGAGCGGCCCAUAUCGGAUUAGCUAGUUGGUGGGGUAAAGGCUCACCAAGGCAACGAUCCGUAGCUGGUUUGAGAGGACGACCAGCCACACUGGAACUGAGACACGGCCCAGACUCCUACGGGAGGCAGCAGUGGGGAAUAUUGGACAAUGGGGGAAACCCUGAUCCAGCCAUCCCGCGUGUAUGAGAAGGCCUUCGGGUUGUAAAGUACUUUUGGCAGGGAAGCGGUAUCUGCAGAAUAAGCACCGGCUAACUACGUGCCAGCAGCCGCGGUAAUUC